rnacentral:rRNA from 1 species
GACGAACGCUGGCGGCGUGCUUAACACAUGCAAGUCGAACGGAAAGGCCCUGCUUUUGCGUGGUGCUCGAGUGGCGAACGGGUGAGAAACACGUGAGUAACCUGCCCUUGACUUUGGGAUAACUUCAGGAAACUGCGGCUAAUACCGGAUAGGAGCUCCUGCUGCACGGUGGGGGUUGGAAAGCUUCGGCUGUUGGGGAUGGAUUCGCGGCUUACCAGCUUGUUGGGGGAGUAGUGGCUUACCAAGGCUUUGACGGCUAGCCGGCAUGGGAGGGUGAACAGCGACCUGGGUCCUGCGAUAGGGAGCAGACUGGUACGGGAGGCAGCGGUGGGGAGUCUUGCACAAUGAGCGGAAGCGUGAUGCGGAAGCGCCGCGUGCGGAAAGACGGCCUUCGGGUGGUAAACCGCUUUCGCCUGUGACGAAGCGUGAGUGACGGUAAUGAGUAAAGAAGCACCGGCUAACUACGUG